rnacentral:lncRNA from 1 species
UUAUUAGGUAGCAUACACACCCUACUAAUGGUAGCUUUUUCAUGAAGAGCAGAGCAAUUUAAUUAGCGAGAUAGUUGUAGUCGUGCAAUGUGUAGUCCCCUGGGCUUUCUAAUUGAGUCGUGUGGUGAGUGUUCGAUCAUGAGGUUUACCGGCUCAACUCAAAAAGGCUUCGAACUAUUCACUGACCAUAUAAAAGUUUACAAUGGUCGUGCAAUGUGUAGUCCCCUGGGCUUUCUAUUUGAGCCUUGUAGGAGCUUUCGGCCACGUGAUUUACUGACUCAACUCAAAAAGGCUUCGAACUAUUCACAGACCAAUUUAUUAUAUAUAGUAUUUUAAAAAAAAUUCAAGAAUAGCUUUCACUCAUUUGGAGAGGCAGCUUUUCCUUAUGAAAGUGUUAAACCAUGACGAGAUUGUGAAGAGUAUUAAAUAAACUAAAGUCUCUAUAGCUAUCAUUCGGGGAUUGAUGAAGUUUUACCUCACAAAGUUCGAAAGUACAGAUAGUAUCCAAU